rnacentral:tmRNA from 1 species
GGGGGCGUUACGGAUUCGACAGGGGUAGAUUGAGCUUGGGUUGCGCGUCGAGGUUACGACUCGUAAAACGUUAUCGCCUAAAUAUAACUGGCAAAACUAACAAUCAACCUGCUUUAGCAGCUGCGUAAGUAGCCUAAAGCGAUCCUUCCUACCAUCGCCCGUGUGGUAGUAUUGAAGGGUCUCAACUGUAGCGGGCUAUACGAUUAUCCACCGUCUGAGGAUAGUCGUUGAAAUGAAUCAGACUAGCUAUUCGGAAGCCUGUUGGUAGGCCGAAGAAAUAGUGAAUGAUAAUAUACCAACUACACGUGUAGAAGCCUAAGUGGCGAUAUCUCUGGACGUGGGUUCGAUUCCCACCGUCUCCACCA